rnacentral:rRNA from 1 species
UAGGUGAACCUGCGGAAGGAUCAUUACUUUUCACUUUGGGAGCUGUUARUCUAUAUCACUAUAGCUGGCUCCUAUUUGAAACCCUUGUCUUUUGCGUACCCAUGUUUCCUCGGCGGGCUUGCCCGCCGGUUGGACAACCUUAAAACCUUUUUAAUUUUCAAUCAGCGUCUGAAUAAAUAUAAUAAUUACAACUUUCAACAACGGAUCUCUUGGUUCUGGCAUCGAUGAAGAACGCAGCGAAAUGCGAUAAGUAGUGUGAAUUGCAGAAUUCAGUGAAUCAUCGAAUCUUUGAACGCACAUUGCGCCCCUUGGUAUUCCAUGGGGCAUGCCUGUUCGAGCGUCAUUUGUACCCUCAAGCUAUGCUUGGUGUUGGGUGUUUGUCCUCUCCUUUGCGAUUGGACUCGCCUUAAAGACAUUGGCAGCCAGUGUAUUGGUCUUGAAGCGCAGCACAUUUUGCGAUUCUUGCUGAUAAUCACUAGCGUCCAGUAAGCCUAUUUUAACACUUUUGACCUCGGAUCAGGUAGGGAUACCCGCUGAACUUAAGCAUAUCAAUAAGCGGAGGA